GAUGAAGAACGUAGUGAAAUGCGAUAAGUAAUGUGAAUUGCAGAAUUCAGUGAAUCAUCGAAUCUUUGAACGCACAUUGCGCCCUUCGGUAUUCCGUUGGGCAUGCCUGUUCGAGCGUCAUUAGAAACUUCAAGCUCAGCUUGGUGUUGGGUGCUUGUCCCCGCCCGCGGCGGACUCACCUCAAAUGCAUUGGCGGCCGGUAUGUUGGCUACAGCGCAGUACAACGCGUCUGGCGUCUUGACAUACGGGUCCUCCAGAAGCCCCUUCUUUGACUUGACCUCGGAUCAGGUAGGGAUACCCGCUGAACUUAAGCAUAUCAAUAAGCGGAGGA
rnacentral:misc_RNA from 1 species